AGGUUAGUGCAAUGGCAUAAGCCAGCUUGACUGCGAGCGUGACGGCGCGAGCAGGUGCGAAAGCAGGUCAUAGUGAUCCGGUGGUUCUGAAUGGAAGGGCCAUCGCUCAACGGAUAAAAGGUACUCCGGGGAUAACAGGCUGAUACCGCCCAAGAGUUCAUAUCGACGGCGGUGUUUGGCACCUCGAUGUCGGCUCAUCACAUCCUGGGGCUGAAGUAGGUCCCAAGGGUAUGGCUGUUCGCCAUUUAAAGUGGUACGCGAGCUGGGUUUAGAACGUCGUGAGACAGUUCGGUCCCUAUCUGCCGUGGGCGCUGGAGAACUGAGGGGGGCUGCUCCUAGUACGAGAGGACCGGAGUGGACGCAUCACUGGUGUUCGGGUUGUCAUGCCAAUGG
rnacentral:rRNA from 1 species